rnacentral:rRNA from 1 species
GACGAACGCUGGCGGCGUGCUUAACACAUGCAAGUCGAGCGGUAAGGCCCUUUCGGGGGUACGACGAGCGGCGAACGGGUGAGUAACAUGUGGGUGACCUGCCCUCAGCUCUGGGAUAAGCCUGGGAAACCGGGUCUAAUACCGGAUAUGACUCCAUGACGCAUGUUGUGGGGUGGAAAGCCUUGUGCGGCUGAGGAUGGGCCCGCGGCCUAUCAGCUUGUUGGUGGGGUGAUGGCCUACCAAGGCGACGACGGGUAGCCGGCCUGAGAGGGCGACCGGCCACACUGGGACUGAGACACGGCCCAGACUCCUACGGGAGGCAGCAGUGGGGAAUCUUGCGCAAUGGGCGAAAGCCUGACGCAGCGACGCCGCGUGAGGGAUGACGGCCUGGUGUAAC